GAAUCGCUAGUAAUCGCGGAUCAGCUACGCCGCGGUGAGUACGUUCCCGGGCCUUGUACACACCGCCCGUCACACCAUGAGAGUCUGUAACACCCAAAGCCGGUGGGAUAACCUUUAUAGGAGUCAGCCGUCUAAGGUAGGACAGAUGAUUAGGGUGAAGUCGUAACAAGGUAGC
rnacentral:rRNA from 1 species